UACAGAGGUGGCAAGCGUUGUUCGGAAUUACUGGGCGUAAAGGGCGCGUAGGCGGUUCGGUAAGUCCUGUGUGAAAUCCCUCGGCUCAACUGAGGAACUGCACGGGAGACUGCCGGGCUUGAGUUCGGGAGAGGGAAGCGGAAUUCCGGGUGUAGCGGUGAAAUGCGUAGAUAUCGGAAGGAACAUCAGUGGCGAAAGCGGCUUCCUGGACCAGCACCGACGUCAGGCACGAAAGUGUGGGGAUCAAACAGGAUUAG
rnacentral:rRNA from 1 species